UACGUAGGGCGCGAGCGUUAUUCGGAAUUACUGGGCGUAAAGUGUGCGCAGGCUGCUUUGCAAGUCGAGUGUGAAAUCCCCGAGCUUAACUUGGGAAUUGCGCUCGAAACUACGGAGCUGGAGUGUGGCAGAGGAAGGUGGAAUUCCACGUGUAGCGGUGAAAUGCGUAGAGAUGUGGAGGAACACCGAUGGCGAAGGCAGCCUUCUGGGCCAACACUGACGCUCAUGCACGAAAGCGUGGGGAGCAAACAGG
rnacentral:rRNA from 1 species